GGGCACUCCCGUAGACCUUGCCUGACUCUGCCAAUAGUCAAGCAGGGGGGACAGUGUGUGCCAGAGAAAACAGAGCUUCUGUGAUCUAUGGCCGGCCAGCACUAUUGGUGGCUGGCUAUAUACAUUACUCUAACAUUU
rnacentral:snoRNA from 1 species